rnacentral:sRNA from 1 species
ACUUAGAGCGUUUCAGUGUCUCUUUGAAACACUGAAACGCUCUAAAGGAAACGGGCAGCAGAUAAAAGCGCGACAGCGCCGCGCGUCCGAUGAGACGCGCGGCGCUGUGAC